rnacentral:rRNA from 1 species
AACGAACGCUGGCGGCAGGCUUAACACAUGCAAGUCGAGCGCCCCGCAAGGGGAGCGGCAGACGGGUGAGUAACGCGUGGGAACGUACUCUUUACCACGGAAUAACGCAGGGAAACUUGUGCUAAUACCGUAUGUGCCCUUUGGGGGAAAGAUUUAUCGGUAAAGGAUCGGCCCGCGUUGGAUUAGCUAGUUGGUGGGGUAAAGGCCUACCAAGGCGACGAUCCAUAGCUGGUCUGAGAGGAUGAUCAGCCACAUUGGGACUGAGACACGGCCCAAACUCCUACGGGAGGCAGCAGUGGGGAAUAUCGGACAAUGGGCGCAAGCCUGAUCCAGCCAUGCCGCGUGAGUGAUGAAGGCCCUAGGGUUGUAAAGCUCUUUCACCGGAGAAGAUAAUGACGGUAUCCGGAGAAGAAGCCCCGGCUAACUUCGUGCCAGCCGCCGCAGUAAAAC